CAUUUUCACAAGUCAGCAAAAAUCAAGUAAGUUGUACAAAUAUUUGGUGAAUAACCCAUGCCUGUCUUUAGAAAUGGGAGAAGUCAAAGAUCUUCGAUGUUUGGUGAUGUUUAUUCUGAACUGUCCAAAUAUUAUGAUUGUACUCAGGCUGUGGAGGUCAGAUAGACAAAUAAAUGCCCGUUCCUCCCACCUCCUCAUCACACAGUGCAGAAUGAAGUGAGUGUGCAAGAUGUGAGCAGACUCUCCUGAUGGAAUGCUUUGCUGGCCCAGUAUCUGUGGAGCAUCUGGGUAAACUAUCCAGGAAGAAGUGGACUCAGUGAGUCUGGAACACCAAGCGGUCGAGCAGGAAGCUUUAGAUCUUUGUGUAAAAAGCAGAUUAUAUUAAGAACAUGCACUGAUCAGACA